UAAUAUGAUUUGUUACCCUGAAUUGUCUGUUCAUGACUUUUGCCUGGAUGUUUACUGGAAUAUUUAGCUUUUUCUUACUGAUAUGUAAUGGGAAGAUUGUAUUCUCAUAUGAAAACAUGCCUAAAGAACUCCAGUGUUGGAUUUAAGAUUUUUAAAAGCAAUUAUGACUUAUUUAUUCAUAAUUCUCUAAUAAAAUCAGUAGAAGCCAAGCUAAAGUUUACAUCUGUUAAGGUAAAAUUUUUUAAAUAAAGUGUAAAUAGUGUAAAAAGAAGAAAGACAUAGGAAAAAAGAAGCUUGUUUUCCAGUGUCUCUUGCUAUCUGAGGAGUACUUUUAGGGUGCUAAUUUCUAAACUCUAUAAAUUUUUAAGGAAAUUAUUCUUACCUACUUAACACUCACUCCUCAUAAGCAACUCUUUGCUAUCCUAAGAUACACAUGAAUAAAAGUAAUAAAAUGAUCUAUGUGAGAGACUUGCACUCAUUCUGAUUUCUCUCAGUUCAAAUUACUGUUUUCUUAUCAUACUUAAAAACAAGUCCAUUUGCAAAGCCAGUGACAUUAUAACGAUCAGAAUUGCACUCAUUUUCACUCCCUCACACAUUUUCCUACUGGAUGAGUGGCUUCCUUGUUUAAGUGUGGAAUUCACUGAUCAUAAAGUGGAUUUCAUCCAGAUACAAAAUGUGAAAAAAUGAACUCAUGGGAAAUGACCCUUGAAAUGCACACCACCCUCAAGGCUUGAAAGGAUUUUCUAUUUCAUCAACUUUAGAUGAGCCAUAAUAAUAAAACAUAAAAUAUUAUACAGACUAGAAAAUCCAGAGCUGCAUACCUCAUGGUUCUUCCCCAGUCUCGUUUUCUUAGCCUAACUCAUUCUCAGCCUUUAAAGCCAGUCCACCUGGUCUCCCCCCAGGAAUUGCACCCCUUGGUUGGAUGAAGUGUUCCUUCUCUGUGCUUUGAGAAUACUCUGUAUGCCUCUCUCCUAUGACUCACUGUACAGUUUUGAAAUGACCUGGGAUUUGAUGACCAGUUUUGUAGGUCAAGGACCACAUGGUGUUCAUCUUUGUGUGUCUGCCAGCUUUCAUGGACCUUGGCACUUGGUAGGUUCUCAGUAAUUACUUGUGUUGGUGUGUUAUUGUUAAGACGUUGAAUGAUGUGGAGAAUGGUUUGUUCCAAUAUUUUUGUUCAACUGUAGCAAACACAGCUGAUUGCCCACCUAACAGCCAUCACUGACCUUUCUCCCUUUAUCCUUGUUGGAGGAUCCUUAAUUUUGUUUGCAGUUUCACUCUCCACAAAGCUAUGUGCUCAGGAUGUGACUCCUCUUGCCUGGCUGAGGUGAGAACAUCCAUGGUGAUUGGUCUAGGCAAUAUCUGCAGUCCCAUUCCCCUGGCCUGUGGCCCAAUUCCAGCCAAUGAGGUCUGAGAGCAAGUCAUCUGGGGAUCUUUGGGAAAAGGCUCUCCUUUUAUUGUAGAGAGAUUCAUGGGAGGAGACUACCUCUUUUUCUGGUCAUUGCUGUAUUGCAUGGGAUAUCUGGAACUGUUGCAGGCAUUGUGCAACACUAAGGAAACAUGUCCAACUUGCUAAAGACUGUAGAGACAUCCUCCAUGGUGUGGCUGGGCUGGAGUCACCUGCCUGCAGACUUUCACUGAGAUAUAAUUAUCCCAUGAAUGCCUCCUAAUAGCACAGCACCACACUAAAUAAAAGCAGGGAGAACCCAAAGGGGAUUUGGGAGUCCUCUCCUGGGGGAAACAGUGUCAAAAUGAAAAGUUAAAAGGAAUCAGCUUUCAUCUUAGGGUAGAGAAGCCCAUGGAUAAAUCUAGUAGCUAUUUUCAAGUUCAUGAGGGUUUUAUGGAUGGAAUAUCAAACAGUUAUUCCCCAUGACCUCUGAAGAAUUAACUGAAAGAAGAGACUGAAUUAAAGCAAAAAAGAUUCUGGUUGGAUUUAAGGGAGAAUUCGCCUGAGGAAUGAUAACAGACAAGAACAGGAGUUCCCACUGUGGCUCAGUGGGUUAAGAACCUGACUAGCAUCCAUGAGGACACUGGUUCAGUCCCUUGCCUUGCUCAGUGGGUUAAGGAUCCAGCAUUGCUGUGAGCUGUGGUAUAGGUCACAGACUCAGCUUGGAUCCCAUGUUGCUGUGGCUGCGGCAUAGGCCUCAGAUCACAAUUAACCUGGGACAAUAACUACCUCCCCUUACAACCAAUUUUUGCAUAAAAGCUAGUAUUAGCAAGACUCUUACUUUAACCCCUGAAGCUAAUGUAAAUACAAAAAAAAAAAAAAAAACCAACAAAAAAAG
ensembl:lncRNA